AUUGAACGCUGGCGGCAGGCCUAACACAUGCAAGUCGAGCGGGGUUUUCGGACCUAGCGGCGGACGGGUGAGUAAUGCGUAGGAAGCUACCCGAUAGAGGGGGAUACCAGUUGGAAACGACUGUUAAUACCGCAUAAUGUCUACGGACCAAAGUGUGGGACCUUCGGGCCACAUGCUAUCGGAUGCGCCUACGUGGGAUUAGCUAGUUGGUGAGGUAACGGCUCACCAAGGCGACGAUCCCUAGCUGGUUUGAGAGGAUGAUCAGCCACACUGGAACUGGGACACGGUCCAGACUCCUACGGGAGGCAGCAGUGGGGAAUAUUGGACAAUGGGCGCAAGCCUGAUCCAGCCAUGCCGCGUGUGUGAAGAAGGCCUUCGGGUUGUAAGCACUUUCAGUAGGGAGGAAGCGUUGUGUGUUAAUAGUACACAGCGUUGACGUUACCUGCAGAAGAAGCACCGGCUAACUCUGUGCCAGCCGCCGCGGUAACAC
rnacentral:rRNA from 1 species